UCUCGUCGCGUGUACAUCUUCUCGUCACGGGUCUCACGGAAACCGGCUGGCCACGUGCUUUCUCGUGCCGUUCGUAGUCAUUCUUAUACCACUUUCCUACCUCGAGCCGGUUUCUCGUACGUUGGCGAAGAAAACAAGAAAAAAAAAAGUCCAGUGGGCCGUGCGUCCGGAACCGGAGAAUUCGCGACAGCCCGAAAAUCGAACGAGUGCUUGUGAAAAUAGAACCGCCGUUUCGAGAAUAGUUUCCAAUUGGCCGAAAUCCUUAUCUCCAUAGAUCAACAGUUCUCGAGGAGGAUCCUGGAACGAGCACGCGGGCCCAGGUUCGUCCAAAGUCACAAGAUCGGCUGGAAAGGGAGCAAACAGAGAUAA